AGAGCAAGCGCGCUGCGCGACGAAUACUGCACUUUUUAGUUUUUAGCAGUUUUGCUUGAUAUUUAGAUAAAAAUGCGGUGUCGAUAUUUUAUUCCUGAAGAAUAAACACAAAAUUUUACAUAUUUGGAUUUGUGUUCCUAACCAAACAAUAUUGACAGCGAUUAGAUAUGAUGGAAGAGUCAGUUUUGAUGACGACUUCUACUACCAUUCAAAAUGAAGACGAAUCAAUGUCAUCAGGAAUAACAGCUGAAAGUGAAAACACUGCAGCAGGUGAUGGGAAUGAAAAUAAGAGUAUCGUUGAUAAAACUAAUAAUGAAGAUAGCAAUUCGAACAUUGAAGAACGUUAUAAUAAGCUUAGAGGAUUCGCUGUUAAACUCAAGAAAAAAGUAUCCGACUUGACAGAUCAAACUAAGUUGUUAGAAAUAGAAAAUCAAAAACUUAGCAACGAGAAGGAUGAAUUGCAGAGUAAAAUAUUACGUAUGUCUGAAGGUGCCAAAAAAUUGCAGACUAUUCAAUCCCAAUAUGACAAACUGCAAGAUGAUGUAGAGCUGGUAAAAAAUGAAAACAAAAGACUGACUAAAAAGCUAGAAAAUCUUGUCUUAGAAAAUGAUUCAUUAAAAGAUACUAUAACAAAAGAGAGGAGAGAAGUAACUCAAUUGUCUGCCAAAGUUUCAUCUCUAUCAGAAGAAAAAACAAAGUUAACAACUGCAUGUGAACAGUUUGAAAAAAAAGUUAAAGAUUUAAAUAAUGAACUAAAAGCAGAAUUACUUGUACGUCAACAAAAAACAAAAGAAUGUGAAGAUAUAAAAAAUUCUUUAGAUGCUGAAGUUAAGGCUCAUAAAGCAACUCGUGCACGUCUAGAUGAUAUGAAACAUGAUCGUACAAGUAACAAUGUAUUAUCUUUAGAAGUGGCUAAUUAUGAGAAAAGUAUUGAUACUAUUAAAAGUAAGCUUGAUGAGGAAGUGAAUGAGCGAAUAAAUUUGGAAUCAACAGUGAGUCAGCAUUUAGAAACCAUUGAAGUUCUUAAUGUUAGAAUUUCUGAACUACAAGAUUCUUGUUUAGCCAAAACCAAUCGUAUAACUACCCUUGAAGAAAAGAAUCUUACUUUAGAAUCGGAUGCACGAAAUGCUAAACUAGAAGCUUCUAGAGCCCUAAAAGAAAAAGAAUCUCUUACCAGGGAAUCCAGACGUUUGGAAACCUCCAAAAAAGAUUUAGAAGCUAAAGUUGAGCUACUCGCCUCUGAAAUGGCUAAAUUGGAAGAAGAAAACAGAUCCCGUAUCAAAGCCUUCCAAAGUCACGUUGACGAUUUGAAACGCGAAACGUCUCGGUUGAAUUUAGCUCUGGAGAAUAGUAAACGUGAAACGGGUACUUUGCAGGAAGAAUUUGAAAACUACAAACUGAGAGCUCAAAGCGUUUUACUGAGGUCUAAAAAUGUUCCAAGCAGUGAACUCGAAGAAGAAGUUGAACACUGCAAGCGACAAAUUUCUCUACUUACUGAAAAAUGUGAAGGUUAUCAAGAAAGGACAGAGUCAUUGAUGAGAGAAAUUAUUUUGCUGAAAGAUGAAAGAAGUCGUUCGGCCGCGUCGGAAGAAGAAUUAGUCUCGAAAUUGUCAAUGUUGAGGCAAGAUUCACUUGCUCUAAUGGAGAAAUAUAAAAAUCAAGAAGCAGAGAUGCACAGAUUGCAUAUCGUUCAUGAGAAAACUAUUGACGACUUGAGAAGAACUUAUGAGGAAGAAAUUAAUAAUCUCAAGAAAAGGCAUGAAGAGGAGCUACAGAAUGUAAAGCUAGAAGCUACUCUAAACUCCAGAAUUACGUCGCAAUCAACUACUUCUAUGACUGGGCCUCCAGUUCUACCUCCAGCAUCAUCUCCACCUCUUAUUGAAAGGGAAGAGUGCGAGGGAUCAGAAAGUAUAGACUCUUUACAACAAUCAUCAAAGAAUUCUGAGCGCAGUCAAGGUAGAACGAUAGCACCGGAAACGCCGAUAACGACUCUUACACCUCUGGAUCAGCUCUUAGAAUUUCCAUUUGACGAGCAUGAAGUAGUGUCAAGGGUACCAGAAGACAGUCCGGAGGUCGUUGUUUACAAAAAUCGUGUCAAACAUCUGACGGAACUUCUGGCAGACGCGGAGAGAGACAUAGCGAAGCUCACGCAACUUAAUCAGUUACUUAAAGAAGACAUUCGACGACAGAAGCGAUAUGUCGAAAGAGAAAAGGAAGCGGUAAACUUUGAGUACCUAAAAAACGUCGUUUUCAAAUUUGUAACUUUAGAAAACCGUGAUGAACGCAGUCGAUUGGUCCCUGUACUUGACACUAUUCUGAAGUUAAGUCCAGAAGAGACUCACAAGCUGGAAGAAAUUGUAUCAGCAACUGGAGGAGUGUCUCACAAAAGGAGUUGGAUACCCGGAUGGAAUACGAGUUAAUUACUGUAAAUACGGCAGAGCGAAUUUUAUCUAGCCCUAUAAGCGAAACGCGUGACACUGGCUGUUGUUACUGUUACUAUGAUUUUUUUCCUCUCAAAUAUAUAUUUAUAUUUAGAUAUUUUGGCACCCUCUUAAACGCACCGGAGUUUAAAAAAGGUGCAUCUUUCUCAAUGAAACAACGAAAAGCCUGAACUAAGGAAGCAUCGGGGUUUUUGGCAUAACGAAGCGUGUCAGGCAUAUACUUAUAAACAGUGCGCAUAAUUGCGCAGCGUCCAAGAAUAGUUUUUAAUACCGUUGCAUUUCUGCGAGAUCCUGUGAAUAUAGAGAGCCAGUCUUGAUAAGAGAAAUUAAAACUUGUACUUCAGAGAAUCAGCACUUGAACGGCUGCUUAUCACACGUGAUAACCCAUCGCUUGCUGCAUGUCACAAUUGAUCGAGUUCCCCGAUAGAAAUAGUGUCAUUAUCGCCACGUAGAAGAUCGGAAAACAAAUAUUUGAAAUUCGGCGUAAAAAAUUUCUCGUACCGCGAACAAUGCGAAGCUCGGCUAUUGGAGCGGUUAGAGCAAAAUUGUUGGCAUAAACACCUGCUUCGUCAGCUCGGGCAUUUUACCUCCUAUAUAUAUGCUUUCUUCCAAGUCCGCGUGCCAGAAACUUUUUGUUUUAUCAUCGCGUUUAUCUUGGCCAUUCGUACAACAGAACAUGUAGUACCCGCACAGUAUAAGAAGUGGCAUUCUUUCAAUCAAUAAAAUAUUUACUCUAGAAGAAAUGCGAAUGACCGCAGGGAUGUCUAGUCAGCGCUUCGUUCGUGUCAAAUGAAAUAUUUUGUAAAACAGCGUUAAUUUUUUAAGUAAAAAAACGCGCUAAAAGCAUAAAUUACUUAACAGGUAGACAGUAUAUCUUUGACGCUAACUAAGAACUAUUAAAUAAAUUAGACAAAACCAGAUACAAAUAUUAAUAAAUCGAUUGGACUUGUCAGAGCUAAA